GAUACCCAGAGGAAGAGACAGAGGAGGGUGCUCCCAGACAGGAGGAGGAGCCUGGGGCUGCAGGUGAGUGCUUCCCUGGGGAUCUGAGGAGGGAGUGGCCAGGGGCGAGGUUAGAAGGAAGAGCAAGGGCCAGAUCACACAGAAACUUUCAAGGCUCUUUAUUCCAGUGGAGGAAACUGAGGCAGUCAGUGGGCCAGUGACCUCCAGGUGAUAGCCAAUCACGGUGAACCACCCAGCCAGGCCACGCUCCUGCCACCCCUCUGCUCUGGAGACCUGUUGCUCAGGAUCUCCAGGCUGCCUUCCUUCUAGGGUCCCCAAGAAGAGACAGCAGGCCCGAGGCCCUGGCCCUGCAGCAACCCCCAUCUUAUCCUCCCCAGACCCCCCCCCCAAGCUCUCCCUCCACACCCCAGCUCUUCCCAAAGGCAUGUUUUUCCAGAAACACAAGCUGAGCGGAACCCCUCCCUGGGCCUGACUGAAAUAAGAACUCCCGCCGAAGAGCACUUUCUUGGAGAGCGCUGCGGAGCCUCCUGCCGACUCUGGAGGACACAUCCAAGCUGGGUUUGCUAAAAUAAUAAUCUUUAGAAACCCAGUUCGCCUGUUGCCAAAAGCCUCGCCUGAGAGCUCCGUGUACCCACAGCCCUGACUGUGAGAUGAAUUAAGCCUGGUGCUGUAGGCCAGACAUCCCAGCUACUCAAGAAGCUAAGGUAGGAGAAAUAAGCUCAAGGCCUGCUUGGGCUACAGAAUGAGUUCAAAUCCAGCCUGGGCAACUUAGUCAACCUCUGUCUCAAAAGCAAAAGAAAAACAAACAAACACAAACAAAAAAGCAAAAUAGGCUGGGCGGUGGUGUCGCAUGCCUUUAAUCCCAGCACGUGGGAGGCAGAGGCAGGAGGAUCUCUGCGAUGGAGCUAGCAUCAUCACUGUGACAGAGCACGCUGAGGCCCCGGGUUCAAGUCCCUGUAUGGCAGCAACCACAACAAAACAAAUGGCCUCCCCAUGGUGUGUUCUCGAGAUAGGCUGUCACAGACACAGCAACAGUGUGUUUGGCUGGGACUCCAGGGAGGCGGAAGCCCACAGAUCCGGUGGCCACGGAGACUGACACCCUACAAGGCAGUCAGCAUGUCUCCAGUUCCAUCGCAUGGGGACCCGAAGGGGCCUUGAGGUGGUGUGACCCCACAGACUUAGCUCAGUUGUGGCAGAGGGCCACAGGCUCUGGAGGACGGCUCUGACCCCCGUCCUGGGCUCUGGAAGAAACCCUGUCUCUCCCGACUCUACCUACCUGACAGGAAGAUGGCCAGGCCACCAGGCUGCACAUACCAGCUGUGGUUGGCUAGCCCCAAAGGACUGUGCCAGCCAUGGCAGGCUCACUGCAUGCCACACACGAGAGCAGCCCAGAUGAACACUGUCACUACCACCUUAGGGACCCUUGAGAUCUCUUCCCGGCAGCUGUGGAGGAAGGACAUCACUAAGGGGUGGAUUUUAUAUUUAUUACGUUUUGCAGUGCUGGGCACGGAACCCGGGUCCCUGUGCUUGCCAGGCCCUACCACUGAGUCCCACUGAGGCCUGAGGCAGUUGGAGAGGAAGGCAUGGAUCUCUGCAGACGGCUCAUCUGGCUGCCCCUGUCUGGGGGCCCUUUACUUUCUGCCCCCUGCAGAUUAGGAGUGUCCCAAAGUGACUGCUCACACCAGGAGCUCCCAGACCAUCCUUCAUCUAAUGCCAGUAAACAAGGACUCUGCCUGCCUCCGUCUUACAGAUGAAGGAACCAAGUCCAGAGAGCCGACAGUACUCAGAUGAAGCCACUUAGCUACUAAGGAUUGGAGAGCUGGGGAAGUGAGUCCUCCACCCUCCGUGGGUCCCAAGGCCUGCGUGAUGUGCUGUCGCUGGCAGCCGAUCUCUGUCCUUCACCCUAACUUUGCUGAUGAUCCCUUGUUAUGUGGCCCUGGGCAAGUUGCUGUCCUUUUCUGAGACUUCACUCUCUCAUCUUAAAAAUAGACCCAAGAAGAAUCACAGGUACCGUUUAGUGGCUAAGUUGGGGACACAGAGAGACAAGUCAGAUAAAACCCCAGACGAGCCAGGCAGGUCCCUCAACAGUUAUCUACAGCCGUUCUCUCUCUUCCCGUGGGUGAUAGAUACACUGUUGGCCCAGCCAUUUAACAAGGAUGUGUUUGUCCGGCCCACUGGCCUCUCCCUCCACAUUCCUCCUUCUCAGUUUAGGGUGGUGCUAAAUCAGAGCCAGGGGCUUGUCUGUCGCAGAAGCUCGGGGGGAUGUUUUGUGGGCACGGGGCCUCUGAAGUCGGUGCCCUCCGCAGGAUUGCAGGCUGGAGGACAAGCAACACCCACUUCACUCAGAACCCCGAGAGCUUCCCCAGGUUCUCCCGGGAGCAUGGGGACACUUGGGGUACUUCUCUGGGCAGCUGAGCACCCCAAGAUAGCACUGUUCUUGGAAUCCCUGAGCUCUGAGUCCCUUGGUUUUCAACCUGGGUUGCCAUUUAUUACUGAUGAUGCCCAGAUGCUGCUGCUGUCGUCGUUAGUGUUUUAAGAGAAGGGUGCUUUUCAACUUGAGGGGGAUUUUCUAGAGAUGUGUGUCACUGCGAUUGGAUUGUACCUGGGCCUACUCGACUCCCCGGAUCCUACCACUUGGCUGCCCCUCUUUGGCCAGAUCUCCCCCUGGCUCUCAGAGUCAGACACACCAAAUCUGUGCCCUCAUUUCAGGAGGAGACAGCGGAACAGGGAAUGAUCACCUGGCACCAAGGACCUGGCUGAGAACAGUCCACUGUGGAUUCUGAUCUGCUCCCCAGGGACCCCAGCAGGCCCACAGUCACCUGCUUCUGAACAUAGGGGCCAGGUCUUCAUCUCCCACUGCCCACUUCCUUGGAGGACCUCCCACAUUCAUCUCUAGAGGAAGCCACCCACACUGGCUCUCUCUCUGCCGCUGUGUCCUGACAGUGACCCCAGCUGCUCACACUGACUGUUACUGCUCCUGUUCUCCAGGCCCGAGACAUGGGGCCAAGAGGCUGGGGAAUGUGCUCUCAGUCACGGAGCCCUGGAGAGUUUCUCUGUUGGUUGAAAUGCCAAUGUCGUCAAACGGACAGACUCUGGCAUCAUGUAGGAGACAGCCCUCUGGGCAUGUCUGUGAAGGAGUUUCCAGGUUAGGUUAACUGAGGUGGGAGACUCACCCUAACUGUGAGGGACACCAUCCCUGGGCUGGACUCCGGGGCUGGAUGAAACUGAGAAACUGAACUGA